UUUGGAAAUUCAAUCUGUCCAAUUGGACCUACUUCCUCUAAUUACUAUACAAUUUUACAAUUGUAAGUUAGUUAUAGCUGCUCCCUUUUUUUUUUUUGAGAGAAAUGCAUCUGUAAUUGAAAGAUGUGUACUUCGAUAAUGACAUAUUGAUGUGCUCAUGUUUUAUCUGAAUGUAGUAGUAGCCUUCCACCACCCUCAUCAGCUGGUCAAGCAUUAUCUGAAUGUGGUCAUGUCAAAAUAGAUGUGCUCAUGUUUUGAAGACUAGCUUGAAAUUUUCUGAUCACCAUCAUACGAGAAGUCUAUGGGUCCAUAUAAUGCAUCCAUUUAAUAACUCCUGAAAUUACUAAGAGUCCACAAUUGAUUAUUUGAUUGUCCUCUCCAAGACCAGGGCUGCUACAAAUAAGAUCAACCUCCAACUCUUUGCCUUGCUCUGCCUCCUAGUAAUAAUGGCUAUCUGCAUCAUAUUCGCAUGGCUCCUUUU
rnacentral:lncRNA from 1 species